rnacentral:rRNA from 1 species
AGUGAACGCUGGCGGUAGGCCCAACACAUGCAAGUCGAACGGCAGCACAGUAAGAGCUUGCUCUUACGGGUGGCGAGUGGCGGACGGGUGAGGAAUACAUCGGAAUCUACUUUUUCGUGGGGGAUAACGUAGGGAAACUUACGCUAAUACCGCAUACGACCUACGGGUGAAAGCAGGGGAUCUUCGGACCUUGCGCGAUUGAAUGAGCCGAUGUCGGAUUAGCUAGUUGGCGGGGUAAAGGCCCACCAAGGCGACGAUCCGUAGCUGGUCUGAGAGGAUGAUCAGCCACACUGGAACUGAGACACGGUCCAGACUCCUACGGGAGGCAGCAGUGGGGAAUAUUGGACAAUGGGCGCAAGCCUGAUCCAGCCAUACCGCGUGGGUGAAGAAGGCCUUCGGGUUGUAAAGCCUUUUUGUUGGGAAAGAAAAGCAGCAGGUUAAUACCCCGCUGUUCUGACGGUACCCAAAGAAUAAGCACCGGCUAACUUCGUG